rnacentral:rRNA from 1 species
CCUACGGGUGGCUGCAGUGAGGAAUAUUGGUCAAUGGGCGGGAGCCUGAACCAGCCAAGUCGCGUGAAGGAAGAAGGUACUUAGUAUUGUAAACUUCUUUUGUCAAGGGACAAAAUCAGGCUCGAGAGCCUGACCGAGGGUACUUGAAGAAAAAGCAUCGGCUACCUCCGUGCCAGCAGCCGCGGUAAUACGGAGGAUGCGAGCGUUAUCCGGAUUUAUUGGGUUAAAAGGGUGCGUAGGCGGACUGUUAAGUCAGCGGUAACAGCCCGGGGCUCAACCCCGGCGAGCCUUUGAAACUGGCUGUCUUGAGAUGUCGAGAGGUAUGCGGAAUGCGCAGUGUAGCGGUGAAAUGCUUAGAUAUUGCGCAGAACUCCGAUUGCGAAGGCAGCAUACCGGCGGCGAUCUGACGCUGAGGCACGAAAGCGUGGGUAUCGAACAGGAUUAGAUACCCCGGUAGUC